CAAGAACCGGAUGAUAGUGCACCUCCUAUUUCUAGAUGUAUCCUCUCUCCCAGUCUCUGCUCUCUCCCCUGCACCUCCAGUGCCCCACAGUGUGCUGGAAGUCAGGAAACCACAAAGAGAUUGUUGUAAACAGCUUGGUCAAAGAUACCUCAAGGUCAAAAUGGUCAUCUACCAAACACUGUUGGAUGGCACUGUGAUGUGGGAUGACCUUCUGAAUAUGUGUUGUUUUUUUGGACAAUGAAUAAAACUGUAUUUGUCAAUGGUUUAGCAGAACAAAGCCAGGUGGAAAAUCUGAACAGAGAAAUAGAGAGUGAGUACGUGAAAUCAAAGAGACAUCAUAUAGUUGCUGAAGGAGACAGACACCGGAUGAACCCUUACUGGAUUGUGCAGCGCCAUUGUCAGCUGAGGAUCUGUUUGGAGAGAAUUACUAAGGAAGGAGAAACGCUCGGUGGCUUUGAGACAAGGAUGGAGACUAUUGUUUGGGGGGGCAAUAAAAAUUAUAGGUAUUUUGAGUCCCAGUACCAUAGAGAAAAAAAUAUAAAUUAUAAGGAUUGGAAGCCACAGGUCUGGAUUCCAUCCCAGAGUCACUGGCCUUCCCUGUUAUGGCACAAUUUUGUCCCAGUUGUCCCCAUCCUUCCCCCAUUAUGCAGUAUCACCAUGAACUAUAUAAAUGUUACCCAACCAGAAUGCCCAGGUAUCACAGAGAGAGCAAAAUCUUACCAGUUACACAAAAUUGGUCUUAUCCUGGAUCCCUUCCAUUGAUUGGAUAUGUAACCAGAGAAAAACCAGAGUUACCACCUCUGAGCUUUCUCAGUUAUCCAAUUAAGGAGCUAAAAUAUCAACCUUUCAGAGUUGUGAGAAUUGGGACAGGGUAUGUCAAGAAAGCCUGACUCUGUGUGCCAUGAAGAACAUUAAACUUCUUGAUUUAUACCUGA